rnacentral:circRNA from 1 species
AUAUCUACAGUUUUAUAAAAGAAGCCAAUACACUGAACCUGGCUCCCUAUGAUGCCUGCUGGAAUGCCUGUCGAGGAGACAGGUGGGAAGACUUGUCCAGAUCACAGGUGCGCUGCUAUGUCCACAUCAUGAAAGAGGGGCUCUGCUCUCGAGUGAGCACACUGGGACUCUACAUGGAAGCAAACAGACAGGUGCCCAAAUUGCUGUCUGCUCUCUGUCCAGAAGAACCACCAGUCCAUUCGUCAGCCCAGAUUGUCAGCAAACACCUGGUUGGAGUUGACAGCCUCAUUGGGCCAGAGACACAGAUUGGAGAGAAGUCAUCCAUUAAGCGCUCAGUCAUUGGCUCAUCCUGUCUCAUAAAAGAUAGAGUGACUAUUACCAAUUGCCUUCUCAUGAACUCAGUCACUGUGGAGGAAGG